rnacentral:rRNA from 1 species
CGCGGCCUAUCAGCUUGUUGGUGAGGUAAUGGCUCACCAAGGCUUCGACGGGUAGUUGGUCUGAGAGGACGACCAACCACACUGGGACUGAGACACGGCCCAGACUCCUACGGGAGGCAGCAGUAGGGAAUCUUGCUCAAUGGGCGAAAGCCUGAAGCAGCGACGCCGCGUGCGGGAUGAAGGCCCUCGGGUCGUAAACCGCUUUCAGCGGGAACGAAAUUGACGGUACCUGCAGAAGAAGCACCGGCCAACUACGUGCCAGCAGCCGCGGUAAUACGUAGGGUGCAAGCGUUGUCCGGAUUCAUUGGGCGUAAAGAGCUCGUAGGCGGUUCAGUAAGUCGGGUGUGAAAUCUCCGUGCUCAACACGGAGCGGCCACCUGAUACUGCUGUGACUAGAGUCCGGUAGGGGAGUGUGGAAUUCCUGGUGUAGCGGUGAAAUGCGCAGAUAUCAGGAGGAACACCAGUGGCGAAGGCGGCACUCUGGGCCGUGACUGACGCUGAGGAGCGAAAGCGUGGGUAGCAAACAGGAUUAGAUACCCUGGUAGUCCACGCCGUAAACGUUGGGCACUAGGUGUGGGUCUCUAUCGACGGGAUCCGUGCCGUAGCUAACGCAUUAAGUGCCCCGCCUGGGGAGUACGG